UACGGAGGGUGCAAGCGUUGUCCGGAUUUAUUGGGUUUAAAGGGUGCGUAGGCGGCAGAUUAAGUCAGCGGUGAAAUUCCACAGCUCAACUGUGGAACUGCCAUUGAUACUGGUUUGCUUGAGUACAGAUGAGGUAGGCGGAAUUGACAGUGUAGCGGUGAAAUGCUUAGAUAUUGUCAAGAACACCUAUUGCGAAGGCAGCUUACUAAGCUGUAACUGACGCUGAGGCACGAAAAGCGUGGGGAGUCAAACAGGA
rnacentral:rRNA from 1 species